rnacentral:rRNA from 1 species
GAUGAACGCUGGCGGCGUGCCUAAUACAUGCAAGUCGAGCGAACGGACGAGAAGCUUGCUUCUCUGAUGUUAGCGGCGGACGGGUGAGUAACACGUGGAUAACCUACCUAUAAGACUGGGAUAACUUCGGGAAACCGGAGCUAAUACCGGAUAAUAUUUUGAACCGCAUGGUUCAAAAGUGAAAGACGGUCUUGCCGUCACUUAUAGAUGGAUCCGCGCUGCAUUAGCUAGUUGGUAAGGUAACGGCUUACCAAGGCAACGAUGCAUAGCCGACCUGAGAGGGUGAUCGGCCACACUGGAACUGAGACACGGUCCAGACUCCUACGGGAGGCAGCAGUAGGGAAUCUUCCGCAAUGGGCGAAAGCCUGACGGAGCAACGCCGCGUGAGUGAUGAAGGUCUUCGGAUCGUAAAACUCUGUUAUUAGGGAAGAACAUAUGUGUAAGUAACUGUGCACAUCUUGACGGUACCUAAUCAGAAAGCCACGGCUAACUACGUGCCAGCAGCCGCGGUAAUACGUAGGUGGCAAGCGUUAUCCGGAAUUAUUGGGCGUAAAGCGCGCGUAGGCGGUUUUUUAAGUCUGAUGUGAAAGCCCACGGCUCAACCGUGGAGGGUCAUUGGAAACUGGAAAACUUGAGUGCAGAAGAGGAAAGUGGAAUUCCAUGUGUAGCGGUGAAAUGCGCAGAGAUAUGGAGGAACACCAGUGGCGAAGGCGACUUUCUGGUCUGUAACUGACGCUGAUGUGCGAAAGCGUGGGGAUCAAACAGGAUUAGAUACCCUGGUAGUCCACGCCGUAAACGAUGAGUGCUAAGUGUUAGGGGGUUUCCGCCCCUUAGUGCUGCAGCUAACGCAUUAAGCACUCCGCCUGGGGAGUACGACCGCAAGGUUGAAACUCAAAGGAAUUGACGGGGACCCGCACAAGCGGUGGAGCAUGUGGUUUAAUUCGAAGCAACGCGAAGAACCUUACCAAAUCUUGACAUCCUUUGACAACUCUAGAGAUAGAGCCUUCCCCUUCGGGGGGCAAAGUGACAGGUGGUGCAUGGUUGUCGUCAGCUCGUGUCGUGAGAUGUUGGGUUAAGUCCCGCAACGAGCGCAACCCUUAAGCUUAGUUGCCAUCAUUAAGUUGGGCACUCUAAGUUGACUGCCGGUGACAAACCGGAGGAAGGUGGGGAUGACGUCAAAUCAUCAUGCCCCUUAUGAUUUGGGCUACACACGUGCUACAAUGGACAAUACAAAGGGCAGCGAAACCGCGAGGUCAAGCAAAUCCCAUAAAGUUGUUCUCAGUUCGGAUUGUAGUCUGCAACUCGACUACAUGAAGCUGGAAUCGCUAGUAAUCGUAGAUCAGCAUGCUACGGUGAAUACGUUCCCGGGUCU